AUAUCUAACCCAGAACACCCUGAUCAGGCAGGUGGUUUUCCCAGGGCAACGCUCAUCCCUUGCACUCCGAGUGUGCUGACCCCUGCGAUUUCCCCAAAUGCGGGAAACUCGACUGCAUAAUUUGUGGUAAUGGGGGAUUGCGUUCGCGCUCUCCCCUG
rnacentral:snRNA from 1 species